rnacentral:rRNA from 1 species
GCAGUAGCCGCGGGAAUACGAAGGGUGCAAGCGUUACUCGGAAUUACUGGGCGUAAAGCGUGCGUAGGUGGUGGUUUAAGUCCGUUGUGAAAGCCCUGGGCUCAACCUGGGAAUUGCAGUGGAUACUGGGUCACUAGAGUGUGGUAGAGGAUAGUGGAAUUUCCGGUGUAGCAGUGAAAUGCGUAGAGAUCGGAAGGAACAUCUGUGGCGAAGGCGACUAUCUGGGCCAACACUGACACUGAGGCACGAAAGCGUGGGGAGCAAACAGGAUUAGAUACCCGGGUAGUCCCUGUCUCUUAUAA